rnacentral:rRNA from 1 species
AGAGUUUGAUCCUGGCUCAGGACGAACGCUGGCGGCGUGCUUAACACAUGCAAGUCGAACGAUGAAGCCCUUCGGGGUGGAUUAGUGGCGAACGGGUGAGUAACACGUGGGCAAUCUGCCCUUCACUCUGGGACAAGCCCUGGAAACGGGGUCUAAUACCGGAUAUGAGCCUGGGAGGCAUCUCCCGGGUUGUAAAGCUCCGGCGGUGAAGGAUGAGCCCGCGGCCUAUCAGCUUGUUGGUGAGGUAACGGCUCACCAAGGCGACGACGGGUAGCCGGCCUGAGAGGGCGACCGGCCACACUGGGACUGAGACACGGCCCAGACUCCUACGGGAGGCUGCAGUAACGAAUCUUCCGCAAUGCACGCAAGUGUGACGGAGCGACGCCGCGUGUGGGACGAAGCCCUUCGGGGUGUGAACCACUGUCAGGGGAAAGAAAGUUCUGAUCUACCCCAAAGGAAGGCACGGCUAACUCUGUGCCAGCAGCCGCGGUAAUAC